rnacentral:rRNA from 1 species
AGUGGGGAAUAUUGGACAAUGGGCGAAAGCCUGAUCCAGCCAUGCCGCGUGUGUGAAGAAGGUCUUCGGAUUGUAAAGCACUUUAAGUUGGGAGGAAGGGUUGUAGAUUAAUACUCUGCAAUUUUGACGUUACCGACAGAAUAAGCACCGGCUAACUCUGUGCCAGCAGCCGCGGUAAUACAGAGGGUGCAAGCGUUAAUCGGAAUUACUGGGCGUAAAGCGCGCGUAGGUGGUUUGUUAAGUUGGAUGUGAAAUCCCCGGGCUCAACCUGGGAACUGCAUCCAAAACUGGCAAGCUAGAGUAGGGCAGAGGGUGGUGGAAUUUCCUGUGUAGCGGUGAAAUGCGUAGAUAUAGGAAGGAACACCAGUGGCGAAGGCGACCACCUGGGCUCAUACUGACACUGAGGUGCGAAAGCGUGGGGAGCAAA